UUGACCUGGACAGAAACACCUGAUGAAAUAAAAGUGAGAAAAUUCCUCCACAACAACUUGAGAGAAUGAUAAGGUCAGACAGAAAACGACUACUAAAGUGACUCAACAAGCCAUUGAAGCAUGGAUAGCACUCACUUUUUUCAUUACGGCUUAAUCUUUUUAAAUCGUGUUUUAUAAUUUCCUCUCGCUGCCGAUGUUGCACACAUAAGUAUGUGUCACCGUUCUUUAUUUAUUCCGCAUGGAGGGAGCUGACUGAAUUGAUUCCUGUUGUAAUCUCUAGCGCUGUACAUUUCUCCUCAGCCACUCUGCGCCGAUUGUUGCCAAGGCAGCUUGACUGGCGGGAGAAAGCUGGAGAUGCUGCUUACUGACUCAGAACACUGAAAGCAAAAGCAAUGGGAACAGCUGUGAAAAUGCUCCCCAUCUAUUUGUAAAUCAAUGUCUCUGUUUGUAUGACGGCCUCCGAAGCAUCUCAGCGGCGCAGCACGUCGUUUAUUUGUGCAUGUUUUGGGCCGUGACUGAAAACGGCUGCGAAGAUGAACUGCAGUCGCCGCAUUCUGCCUUAUUUGGAGUUAGAAAUUAAAUCCACAAUGAGGAAAAAGGAGGUGCUAAAUGAAUUUUAUGUCAAAUUAGACAUUUCACAUAUCAACCCCUAUGCUGAAAAAUGGCUCCCGUCCACAAGACGGAGAGACAUAAAACUAAUUUUCUCCACACUUUCAAUCACCCACUGCCUUUGGCUUUAUGAGUAGAGGUGCACACUGCUGGGCUGGAAUUCAAUUCAAAAUUUUUAAAUGGCUAAGCGACAUGGGUCUAUUAAAAGGAGCAGGAACGGCUUGAAUUUUCUCUUUAAAAGCUGUUUGAAGUUUAGUAAAUGUGAGAUAAAUUACCCUCAAUGGGACAAUAAUCCUACCUCAGUGUUUUUGGUCAUCAUAAAUCACCACUGAGGUUUCACUUACGCGUUUGAUAGAAACAAUGGUAAAUGUACUUCCCCUGAAACUGAACAUAACGUUAUUUUUCCUCUUUCACUCUUGAGCUGAUAUCAAAAUAUAUUACAUCAAAUAAUCUGACUACAGACCUGAAUUUAGUCUGUUAAAUACAGAGAAGACAACAAAGACAUUUAAAUAUUCAGAAAACCUGAGUUACAGCCUGUAUCCAACAUGGAAAGUGGUGAAACUUCCAAAAAGUGAUCAGACAAACAAGAUUAACAUGUAUUUAAUGAUGUGAAACAUUUAAAUGGAUGAUACUGUGUAUUUUUAGAGCACAAUCCAGUAACUGUUACCUUCAGUCCUUAUAAAAAUGCUCUGCCUUGCAAUAUAACUUAAAAUAAAUUUGACUUUGUCUCUUUAAGAAGUUUCUACUCUUUCUGACACUCCGCCUUCAGCAGAUCAUACUGACCUAAACAAAACAACGCUUCCCCAUGCUGUUCAUUAAUUAUGGUGAAAACAUUCUCAGAAAAUCUGCAGAUGUGUUUUUCCAACAGGUGUUUGCAGGGUGUCUCUUAUCCGCACAAACUUUUAUAUCUGUGCACUUCAACUGCUCAACUGUUCAUUUUUUGCGUAAAUAUUUUCACUGACAAUUGCUAAAAAUUAUAACCACUGUUAUAUAGAACAAUUUCUUCUCUGCAGCAGUUAAACUGCCGUACUCAAGCUGCACAUAAUUCAGCUGCUUCUUACUUUUUUAAAAAAAAUCAUUAAUUUAUUUACACACAUAUCUAGUAUAGAGUACUCCAUUAUUUAUUUAUUAGACUUCCUGAUCUGGGACCUGAGUUCAAAUGUCGUACCACAAAAUUUGCGAAAUGGAAUGACAAUAAAAUCCUUGAAUCCUUAAAAAUUCAUAAAAAUGGCAACAACAAACCUAUAAA